rnacentral:pre_miRNA from 1 species
AGUGGGAUAACUGGGUCAAAUGGUGGUUCCAAGUUUUCUGAGGAAUCUCCAUACUGCUUUCCAGAGUGGUUGCAUCAAUUUUCAGUCCCAUCAGCUAA